UCAGGUACGCUCGACCACGGAAUAUUGUGCCACAAAUAAUCAGGAUUUAUAGUUUUUGAAGUUUUGUUUUUUUGGUUAACCGAAGGGUUUAGCAUAUAGCGAAAUGGAGGAGGUCGGUGAUGGACCCUUGGUGUUACUUCUCUGGUGCCUUCUGCAGUAGGAAACUGGACCUUCGAAGAGAUUCGAGCACCAAGACCUUAUCAGUUAAGGCCUUCCAGAGAACCUGGGAUUUGGUGAUGACACAAAAGAUGAUGUUGCCAUAGCAACGUGCCUUUGGUCAUAUGAUAACAGACAGGAACCCUAGGAACCCUAGAGUGGCGUGAAGGAUGUAGAAAGAAAGUUCGGGAAGAGCUUUUAUUCCAGCAUGGUGACUUGAGUGCAAAUCUUCUCAUCCUUGUCUGCGGACGGAAGAAGUUAAGGAGAAUCCACAGGACGUCUUCACCUGCCUACUCGAGGUUACCACCUUGCCAUUUUGGGGGCUCCAUCAGUGAGCUCACUUCUUAACCUAUAUCUGGAAACUUGGGAUACGUUGCCGUAAUGAUUCUAGUAUAUGGUCCUUGGAUUUCCUUAUUUAUCCACUAAAUUUAAUUUGCCUGUCUUGUUUGCAGUAUCACGUUCGUUGUAUGAAAAAGGCAAAUAGAAAUACAGAAGGAAAUUUUACAAAUUUUAUUAAAUUAGAAGCAACUUACAGUUCUACAAUUCAUUCAAAUCACAAUCGCCUCCCGGUCCGGACAGAUAGUCGCCAAACUGCC